rnacentral:rRNA from 1 species
UACGUAGGGGGCAAGCGUUGUCCGGAUUUAUUGGGCGUAAAGAGCUUGUAGGCGGUCUGUCGCGUCUGCUGUGAAAAUCCGGGGCUCAACCCCGGACUUGCAGUGGGUACGGGCAGACUAGAGUGUGGUAGGGGAGACUAAUUCCUGGUGUAGCGGUGAAAUGCGCAGAUAUCAGGAGGAACACCGAUGGCGAAGGCAGGUCUCUGGGCCACUACUGACGCUGAGAAGCGAAAGCAUGGGGAGCGAACAGG